rnacentral:rRNA from 1 species
GACGAACGCUGGCGGCGUGCCUAAUACAUGCAAGUAGAACGCUGAAGGAGGAGCUUGCUUCUCUGGAUGAGUUGCGAACGGGUGAGUAACGCGUAGGUAACCUGCCUGGUAGCGGGGGAUAACUAUUGGAAACGAUAGCUAAUACCGCAUAAGAGUAGAUGUUGCAUGACAUUUGCUUAAAAGGUGCAAUUGCAUCACUACCAGAUGGACCUGCGUUGUAUUAGCUAGUUGGUGAGGUAACGGCUCACCAAGGCGACGAUACAUAGCCGACCUGAGAGGGUGAUCGGCCACACUGGGACUGAGACACGGCCCAGACUCCUACGGGAGGCAGCAGUAGGGAAUCUUCGGCAAUGGACGGAAGUCUGACCGAGCAACGCCGAGUGAGUGAAGAAGGUUGUCGGAUCGUAAAGCUCGGUUGUAAGAGAAGAACGAGUGUGAGAGUGGAAAGUUCACACUGUGACGGUAUCUUACCAGAAAGGGACGGCUAACUACGUG